CUCGGGCUUCCUUCCUAGGGGGCGCUCUGGCGCGCGGGCGCAGGCAAACGCGAGGGCGUGGGACUCUUUGCCCUCUUAGGGCGGAAGGAACGCGGCCAGUCUGAGAAAGGGCGGCCGCGACCCGAGGCGCCCGAGUCAAAGGAGCGGCCCCCCUCUCUCCGAGGGUGUUGGGGGUCCGGACGGCCGGGCGGGUCUCGGCGGGAGCCUGGGCCCCUUGAGAGACUGUGGCAGUGCGGCUGCUCGGUUUCGCGGCUUCUCCGCCGCCGUCGAGCUGGUGUCGCGCCCUUGCCCGCCCUGGAGUCGGACUGUAUAGCGGGGCGCCCUGCGAGUUCUAGGCCCAGUGGGCCUGAGUAGCAGACGCGGUCAUGGUUAUCUGGACGCUGCUGUUAUUGUUUCUGAAUCCCGGAACUGGGGCCUGACUCCCUAGAGAGACUGAGGGUGACGAGAUGAGUUUCCAGUGCUGACCAGUGCAGCUGUAUUUUGCUAAAAGGUCAAUGCGGAGUGGAUCAAAGCAGAAAUAAGCCUCUCUGGCCAGCCCAAGACUUCACUGAAAGCAGUAACAUACCUAAAGCAGGAAUGCCUCAAUCAGGAAUUUAGCCAAGAAACAAACAAACAAACAAAAAGCCUGGGAAGUAAAUAAUUUGGCAAGAUCCCUGUCUAAAGGGAAAGUCUCCUGAGCAGCAUCAGCAAGCAGACAACAAAAGGAAAUCAAA